rnacentral:tRNA from 1 species
GGCCCCGUAGCUCAGCGGUUAGAGCAGGCGACUCAUAAUCGCUCGGUCCUCGGUUCGAAUCCGGGCGGGGCUA